AUUGAACGCUGGCGGCAUGCUUUACACAUGCAAGUCGAACGGUAACAGGGUGCUUGCACCGCUGACGAGUAGCGAACGGGUGAGUAAUACAUCGGAACGUGCCCAGUCGUGGGGGAUAACGUAGCGAAAGCUACGCUAAUACCGCAUACGAUCUAAGGAUGAAAGCGGGGGAUCGCAAGACCUCGCGCGAUUGGAGCGGCCGAUGGCAGAUUAGGUAGUUGGUAGGGUAAAGGCCUACCAAGCCGACGAGCUGUAGCUGGUCUGGGAGGAUGAUCAGCCACACUGGGACUGAGACACGGCCCAGACUCCUACGGGAGGCAGCAGUGGGGAAUUUUGGACAAUGGGCGCAAGCCUGAUCCAGCCAUUCCGCGUGCAGGAUGAAGGCCUUCGGGUUGUAAACUGCUUUUGUACAGAACGAAAAGGCUCUGGUUAAUACCCGGGGCUCAUGACGGUACUGUAAGAAUAAGCACCGGCUAACUACGUGCCAGCAGCCGCCGCCG
rnacentral:rRNA from 1 species